UACGUGGGGCAGCUUUGGACGUGAUUCUGAGCGAUCAAGUUCCUAGUGCAGGUCGUGGUGGUAGAAGCAAAUAUUCAUGU
rnacentral:rRNA from 1 species